CUGCGUAAAGGACGUUCCGGGCACAGCCGAGUCACGUGAUCAACUCCCCCUCCAGUUCGUCUCCCUUACACAAUGGCGGGUGUCGGCCGGCUUCGUACGACCGCCGGUGUGUGUGAGUGUGGAGCCAACCGUAGACAGGUGAGAGCGGUGGAGCUGACGGCGGUGUCUGCUGCAGGUAACGAUGCCCCCGGGCCGCGCUUCUGGCACCUGCAGCGACGGAUGACGUCAGAGCGCGUGCGGUGGCGGCCGCGUUUCCAGACCAGCAGUACAUCUGUGGCCUCCUGUCCAUGAGAACAAGGAUGCUGGGUAGUUGACAGGAAAGUGCUUCCACCUGGCGGUGACAUCACACUGGGUAAGGAAGAGGGAGGAAACCAGACUACCCCAAGGGCCGCCGGCUCUGCGAACAGUUGUCACAUAAUGAGUUUCCCAGUGAAAACAAGCAACUACAUCACAGGGCACCCCGGGUACCGCAUUUUGCCUGCUAGUUACACAAGAAAAUUUGUGUUGCGUCACCUACCCCGUGUUCACUUGACUCUUUGACACUGCUCGGUACAUGUGUAAAAUGUUCGGACAUUUUGUCUCAUUGCCUACAUAAGUAAUCAGUCUCGAGCUACACCUGUGAACGAGGCUGUGGUUUCAGGUACAAGAAUUGUGACGUCACUUCCUCCGCCUCUUGUCUGCGACGAUUUUCAGCCACCUACCGGACAGACAGUGCAAGAACCAAACUUUCCCCAAAACCGGUUUGUGAAACAGAUGGAAAGCAGGUUUGCCAAACCGUUUUCGGCUUGUCGUGUGUCGUUCCUCACGACGCGCCGCUAGGGAGAACAUGCGGCACGUGCCUCGAGCUGUUUGCCCAAUCGACUAGCGCCAACCUCCACGAGAACGCGCACGCGCGCUCGCGAGACUUCGGGCCAAGGGGUACCAAAAGGCAAAUAUUUGACAAGGUAGAGAGAGGUAGAAAGAGAGACCACAACAGAGGGACUGGGUGCGCCAGGUAGCUUGUCACCACGUGGCUCGGGGUUCAGACCUCGUCUCGGGUCACUCAAGGUAUUUGACACCUGUCCACAGGGCUGGGUGUCGGUUGAAGAAAGAGCAUGACAGAGAGAGACAGAGAGGGAGGGGUUGAGAGAGAUGAGUUCAGAGAGAGUGAAGAGCAGAAUUAUUCACCACAACCUUUCAACCUGUUGUUGUUCAACCUGUUAGCCACGCAUGGACCAACAGCGCGGGCAAGAAGGCGCUUCACUGAACACACGGAUGUGGUCACGGUCCCUGACGAUGAACAGUCACAAGGAAAUCUGCUGGCGGCCAACGGGGAGAUGGAAGGAUGAGGAAGGGAGGUCGAGGGCAGAGCCGCAAACGUGUGACGUCACAAACAGGCUUGUCACGUGAUUAAUCAUCCCUGUGUACCGCGUCAGGGUUGACUGGGUCCGCUGGGCAAAGCCUACAGAGGGAGGCAAGCUGACAGGUUCCCAUGCUUCAAACGAGGCUUGUACAAAGAUAAGAAUGACUUGCUCGUUACAUAAGACCUCCGUGCAUUAUUGAUGACCUGCGGCACUGGGCAUUCCUAGACUUUACUUUUAUUAUCUGUUUUACUUUAAAGCUUUCGUUGUCUUUUUCUCUGAUGACAUGAUAACCGAUCUUUAUCUCCCUGCCUGGGUUGUGAUAGUUUGCGCCACACUCCAGGACCACCACCCUACCCCUCAUUCCUCAUACAAACCACCACCACCCCGUCCUUUCCCCCAAACGAUAACCAAGUUGCUAGUUCUGCUCCUGGAGAAAUCUUGUCAUAUGUGUGACUGUUAGGUGUCGAUGUCAGAUGGCAGUUGAUUAAAUCACUCGGUUAUGCAAAGCCUUCACCAAGGAUCGCUCCACAUUUGAUGACAUGUCAAGACAAGGGUCGCUUGUAGACACUGGACAGGUCACACAUGGAUGCAUUGGUACAACCAUUCUGUCAAAGAGUUGUUGGUCUCCAAGAAUGUUUUAACUAAAUUUAAUUCAGAGCGUUAACCGAUGCAAAUUGCCAGGUCAGUAAAAAGCUGUUAGUGACACAAGACAUUGGUUGGACUACCUUGACUUUCUACCUGCUCAGGUAUGCUGCAGGGUACACCACCCUCC
rnacentral:lncRNA from 1 species